rnacentral:miRNA from 1 species
UGAGGCAGGAGAAUUGCUUGAACCCAGGAGGUGGAGGUUGCAGUGAGCCGAGAUCACGCCACUGCACUCCAGCCUGGGUGACAGAGCAAGACUCCAUCUCA